rnacentral:piRNA from 1 species
UGCGUGACCAAAACCAUGGAGUAGAGC